GUUUGAUCCUGGCUCAGGAUGAACGCUAGCGGCAGGCCUAACACAUGCAAGUCGAGGGGCAGCAUGAACAAUAGCAAUAUUGUUUGAUGGCGACCGGCGCACGGGUGCGUAACACGUAUGCAAUCUGCCUUAUACUUGGGCAUAACUCCGAGAAAUCGGUGCUAAUUUCCAAUAACACUAUAGAGUGGCAUCACUCAGUAGUUAAAGCUCCGGCGGUAUAAGAUGAGCAUGCGCCCAAUUAGCUAGUUGGUGAGGUAACGGCUCACCAAGGCUACGAUUGGUAGGGGUUCUGAGAGGAUGAUCCCCCACACUGGUACUGAGACACGGACCAGACUCCUACGGGAGGCAGCAGUGAGGAAUAUUGCGCAAUGGAGGCAACUCUGACGCAGCCAUGCCGCGUGAAGGAUUGAAGGCCCUAUGGGUUGUAAACUUCUUUGUAUGGGAAAAAACGCUUACUACGUGUAGAAGCCUGAUGGUACCAUAAGAAUAAG
rnacentral:rRNA from 1 species